CCUUCGGGUCGUAAACUCCUUUCGAUCGGAGACGAAUGGCUUCUGGGUCGAAUAUCCCGGAAGAUUGACGGUACCGAGAGAACGAAGCCCCGGCUAAACUCCGUGC
rnacentral:rRNA from 1 species